GACGAACGCUGGCGGCGUGCCUAAUACAUGCAAGUCGAACGCAGUGGGGACGGGUGAGUAACCCGUGGGUAACCUCCCAUCAGAGGGGAUAACACUUGGAAACAGGUGCUAAACCGAUACUGAUGGAUGGACCCGCGGGGGAUUAGCUAGUUGGUGAGGUAACGGCUCACCAAGGCGACGAUGCAUAGCCGGCCUGAGAGGAUGUUCGGUCACACUGGGACUGAGACACGGCCCAGACUCCUACGGGAGGCAGCAGUAGGGAAUCUUGGGCAAUGGGCGAAAGUCUGAUCCAGCCACGCCGCGUGAGUGAAGAAGGUUUUCGGAUCGUAAAGCUCUGUUGUUUGGGAAGCGGUAUCUACACAGAAAGCAACGGCUAACUACGUGCCAGCAGCCGCGGUAAUAC
rnacentral:rRNA from 1 species